CCCCUAUUUUCGCCGACGCAGACGCAUUACGUAAGAGCUCGUAGGCGGUUUGUCGCGUCUGCCGUGAAAGUCCGGGGCCAACUCCGGAUCUGCGGUGGGUACGGGCAGACUAGAGUGAUGUAGGGGAGACUGGAAUUCCUGGUGUAGCGGUGAAAUGCGCAGAUAUCAGGAGGAACACCGAUGGCGAAGGCAGGUCUCUGGGCAUUAACUGACGCUGAGGAGCGAAAGCAUGGGGAGCGAACAGGAUUAGAUACCCUGGUAGUCCAUGCCGUAAACGUUGGGCACUAGGUGUGGGGGACAUUCCACGUUUUCCGCGCCGUAGCUAACGCAUUAAGUGCCCCGCCUGGGGAGUACGGCCGCAAGGCUAAAACUCAAAGGAAUUGACGGGGGCCCGCACAAGCGGCGGAGCAUGCGGAUUAAUUCGAUGCAACGCGAAGAACCUUACCAAGGCUUGACAUGGACUGGAAAUACCUGGAAACAGGUGCCCCGCUUGCGGUCGGUUCACAGGUGGUGCAUGGUUGUCGUCAGCUCGUGUCGUGAGAUGUUGGGUUAAGUCCCGCAACGAGCGCAACCCUCGUUCUAUGUUGCCAGCGCGUGAUGGCGGGGACUCAUAGGAGACUGCCGGGGUCAACUCGGAGGAAGGUGGGGACGACGUCAAAUCAUCAUGCCCCUUAUGUCUUGGGCUUCACGCAUGCUACAAUGGCCGGUACAAAGGGUUGCGAUACUGUGAGGUGGAGCUAAUCCCAAAAAGCCGGUCUCAGUUCGGAUUGGGGUCUGCAACUCGACCCCAUGAAGUCGGAGUCGCUAGUAAUCGCAGAUCAGCAACGCUGCGGUGAAUACGUUCCCGGGCCUUGUACACACCGCCCGUCAAGUCACGAAAGUUGGUAACACCCGAAGCCGGUGGCCUAACCCCCUUGUGGGGAGGGAGCUGUCGAAGGUGGGACUGGCGAUUGGGACUAAGUCGUAACAAGGUAGCCGUACA
rnacentral:rRNA from 1 species